rnacentral:rRNA from 1 species
AUUGAACGCUGGCGGCAGGCCUAACACAUGCAAGUCGAGCGGAGCGGCGGACGGGUGAGUAAUGCCUAGGUAUCUGCCUGGUCGUGGGGGAUGACGUCCGGUAACGGGCGCUAAUACUGCAUACUAUCAGACGCGCAUAGGUCGGAGUAGCUUGUUGGUGGGGUAAAGGCCUACCAAGGCGACGAUCCGUAACUGGUCUGAGAGGAUGAUCAGUCACACUGGAACUGAGACACGGUCCAGACUCCUACGGGAGGCAGCAGUGGGGAAUAUUGGACAAUGGGCGAAAGCCUGAUCCAGCCAUGCAGCGUGUGUGAAGAAGGUCUUCGGUUUGUAAAGCACGUUAAGUUGGGAGGCGUUACCAACAGAAGAGGCACCGGCUAACUUCGUGCCAGCCGCCGCGGUAAUAC